UUAUAUCUCCGUUGUCGGCUUGCCGACUAUGGCGAUACACGGGCUUCGCAAUAAACCCAUCGGACCCGGGGGCAGUACCCGGCGCCUCCACCAUUUUUUUCCGGCAUAUAUGUCGGCUUUUGGGGGCGAACCAGGAUCGACGAGGGCGUAAAGGAUGUUUCCGUCGCUCGGCAUGGUACCCACCGUUAUCGGGCCAUUAUGAUAGUUGCAAAUGACAACUACGCGGAAGUAGCAGUCGCUGCAUAGUCAGCGCCUAAACUUCAUUUAAGUCCAUCACCGUCGCAGGUGCUGGCGGGGUUCGGGAGGCACCUGGCAACAGAAGCCUUCCAUUAUUUCU
rnacentral:tmRNA from 1 species